GGCCGACUAGCUCAGCUGGUUAGAGCGUCGUGCUAAUACAAAUUCGAGCGAAUCUGGCGAUUGCCGCGCGGUUCUUCGUGCGGUAAUCGCUAAAUUCGGUCGGAUCGUUACGCGAAGGUCUUGGGUUCGAUCCCCACGUUGGCCA